rnacentral:rRNA from 1 species
UACGUAGGGUGCAAGCGUUAAUCGGAAUUACUGGGCGUAAAGCGUGCGCAGGCGGUUUUGUAAGUCUGUCGUGAAAGCCCCGGGCUCAAGCCUGGGAAUUGCGAUGGAGACUGCAAGGCUUGAAUCUGGCAGAGGGGGGUAGAAUUCCACGUGUAGCAGUGAAAUGCGUAGAGAUGUGGAGGAACACCGAUGGCGAAGGCAGCCCCCUGGGUCAAGAUUGACGCUCAUGCACGAAAGCGUGGGGAGCAAACAGG